AUUGAACGCUGGCGGCAGGCCUAACACAUGCAAGUCGAGCGGCAGCGGGAAAGUAGCUUGCUACUUUUGCCGGCGAGCGGCGGACGGGUGAGUAAUGCCUGGGAAAUUGCCCAGUCGAGGGGGAUAACAGUUGGAAACGACUGCUAAUACCGCAUACGCCCUACGGGGGAAAGCACGGGACCUUCGGGCCUUGCGCGAUUGGAUAUGCCCAGGUGUGAUUAGCUAGUUGGGUAGGUAAUGGCUCAACAAGGCGACGACCCCUAGCUGGUCUGAGAGGAUGAUCAGCCACACUGGAACUGAGACACGGUCCAGACUCCUACGGGAGGCAGCAGUGGGGAAUAUUGCACAAUGGGGGAAACCCUGAUGCAGCCAUGCCGCGUGUGUGAAGAAGGCCUUCGGGUUGUAAAGCACUUUCAGCGAGGAGGAAAGGUUGAUGCCUAAUACGUAUCAACUGUGACGUUACUCGUAGAAGAAGCACCGGCUAACUCCGUGCCAGCAGCCGCCGCAG
rnacentral:rRNA from 1 species